AGCAGCCGCGGUAAUUCCAGCUCCAAUAGCGUAUAUUAAAGUUGUUGCAGUUAAAAAGCUCGUAGUUGAAUUUUAGGCCUGACCGGACGGUCCGUCUCUGGCGAGUACUGUUCUGUUGUCGGGUCUAUCCUUCUGGUGAGCCGGUAUGCCCUUUAUUGGGUGUGUCGGGGAACCAGGACCAUUACCUUGAAAAAAUUAGAGUGUUUAAAGCGGGCUUUUGCUUGAAUAGAUUAGCAUGGAAUAAUAGAAUAGGACGUUGGUUCUAUUUUGUUGGUCUAGGACCACCGUAAUGAUUAAUAGGGAUAGUUGGGGGCAUUAGUAUUCAAUUGUCAGAGGUGAAAUUCUUGGAUUUAUUGAAGACUAACUACUGCGAAAGCAUUUGCCAAGGAUGUUUUCAUUAAUCAAGAACGAAAGUUAGGGGACCGAAGACGAUCAGAUACCGUCGUAGUCUUAACCAUAAACUAUGCCGACUAGGAAUCGGGCGACGUUAUUUUCAUGACUCGCUCGGCGCCUUAUGGGA
rnacentral:rRNA from 1 species